CUCCUUUAAUCUGUUCGCCAGGACUUUCGCAAUAAUCUUAUACACCCCACAGAUUACGCUAAUAGGACAAAAGUCCUUAAUGUCGAUCGCUCCCGAUUUCUUAGGGAUCAGCACCAUAAAUGUAGCAUUAGAACUUUUUUGGAACCUGCCACGUUCAAAAAAAUAUGCAAACACAUCCAAAAUUUCCGAUCGCACCACCUCCCAACAAGCCUUGUAAAAUGAGAACAAGAAACCGUCCUGUCCAGGGGCCUUAUCCUCAUUCAUGCUAAAUACUACCUCCUUGAUUUCAUCCUCCUCAAAAGGUCGUUCUAACCACCCGGCAUCAUCCUCCGUGAUAGUAGAAAAAUCCAAUCCUUCCAACUCUGGCCUCCACUCAAACUGUUCCUGAUCUAGAUUCUAAUAGAAAUUCACCAAUUGGCUUCCAAUUUCGAGUGGUUUUUCAUAAGUUAUCCCAUCCACUUCCAACACUGUGAUGGAGUUGUUCCGCCUAUUAAAAUUAGCGAUCCUGUGAAAAAACUUAGUACAUUUAUCUCCUUCUUUCAACCAGUUGACCCUAGAUUUCUGACGCCAUGCAAUCUCCUCCAUCUCCACCAACCUCUCCAAUUCUUCCCUUAAUGCUCUACGUUUCUCCUUCUCCUCCCUAGCCUACCUUCGACUCUCCUCCCUCCUAUCCAACUCAUCAAUCUCUGAAAGACACUGAAUUUUACGACAGUUCACAUUGCCCACAACCUCCUCAUUCCAUUUCUUUAAGUCUCUUUUCCAAGACUACAACUUCUGAUCCAACACAAAACUAAGAGACCCCCUGACAUCGUAAGAUGUCCACCAAGUCUUUACUUGCUCCCUAAAACCUUCAACUUUCAACCACAUUUUCUCGAACCUAAAAGGCCUUCAUCCUCCACCCGUCCUGUUCCCAGUUAACAUAAUGGGGAAAUGAUCAGAGUACACCCUCCCCAAUCUUCUCUGAAUGACAUCUGAAUACUUAGCCUCCCACUAUCCGCAUAUCAAGAACCUGUCUAUACGAGAAAGAACAGGUUGAUCCCGAUUAGAUGACCAGGUAAAAUCUCCUCCAAUCAUAGGCAAAUCCACCAACAUAUUCUCCCUUAUAAAAUCUGAAAACUCCUCCAUAACCCUCGUGAGUCUCCCACCGUUCAACCUCUCAAUAGGAAAUCGAACCACAUUAAAGUCACCUCCUAUACACGUUGGUAGAUUCCACCAAGCCAUCAUUCCAGCCAGUUCAUCCCACAAGCCCCUUCUACUGUCAUUAGUAUUAGGCCCAUAAACACCUAUGAACAUCCACUGAAAUCCAUCCCCAAUGUUUCUGAACGACAUCGAAAUUGAGAACAAUCCAACACUCACCUCCUCCAUCUCAAGCACUCUGGUGUCCCACAUGACUAAUAUGCCUCCAGAAACCCCUGAUUAUCCCAUAAACUGAUACCCUACAUGCUGUCCCCCCCAUAAGCUACUAACCACCGCUCUCGAGAUGACGUCUAUCUUGGUUUCUUGUAAGCAUACAAGAUCCGCUCCCCAACCCCUUAGCAGAUGUCGAACACCCAUCCUUUUCCCCACUUCAUUAAAUCUCCUUACAUUCCAGCUAAUGAUUCAUGGUAUCAUUUUAACAGUCCAAUAUCCCUCCCCAGUAGGGAUGUAAGCAAAAAUCGCAAAAUCGGAAAAUCGAAUCGAAACCGCAUUUUAGAAACCGUUGGUUUG
rnacentral:lncRNA from 1 species